rnacentral:lncRNA from 1 species
UACAGUCACAAGAAAGGGAGUAACAGUCAGUGUUAUAUCCCCAUAUAUGCUUUCUGGGCUUUACAUCUGCAAGAAAAUUCUCCAUACUGCUCUCGUCCUGCCUCCUAUCUCCCUAGAGCAGCUGACACCAAGUGUUUGCAGCACUGGAUCCUUAGUCAUCAAGGGGAACAAGGCUGACAGCAGAGGUUGAUGCCUGCAGAGAGAAAACAGUAACCAGCUGAUGCUUCAAACAGCAGCUGCAGCAUCCACAGAUUCACCGACUCCCACUCAGAGACCUUGCCUGGAUCCAUCAACAUGCAGCAGAUAGGGCAUAUGCAUCCAUGGAGAAGCCUCCUCUAGGCAGAGAGAGCACUGACCGUGGGUAUGAGGAGGUCUUUGUCCCACUGAGACCAACAAGGACGGAGCUCUAUGUUGAUGAGACCCAGGGGAAGCAGAGCAAUUCAUUCUGCAGAGGUUUCUGGGAGCUCCCAGAUGCAGGCUGUUCUGCAUUAUUCUUUCUUCUGUGCCUCUUGUGGUAUUCGUGACAGCCAGUGACAAUGUCAUAGAAGGCUACCACGUUGGUUGAGCAUGACUUCCCCCUGGUGAACCCAUGAUGGCUACUCCUGAUAACCUCCUUUUCUUCCAAUUGUUUGGAGAUGGCAUCCAGCACAACCUGUUCCAUCACCUUUCCAGGGACAGAGGUGAGGCUGAAUAUAAUAAAAUAUUAGUUAAGAUUUAUUUAUUUAUUUUU